UGUCAAGUCAGCAUGACCCUUAUGUCCUGGGCGACACACACGCUACAAUGGCCGGUACAAAGGGCAGCCAAGCGGUAACGCGGAGCCAAUCCCAGAAAGCCGGUCUCAGUACGGAUUGGGGGCUGCAACUCGCCCCCAUGAAGGCGGAGUUGCUAGUAACCGCCGGUCAGCAUACGGCGGUGAAUACGUUCCCGGGGCUU
rnacentral:rRNA from 1 species